GCCGGCUGUACAGAGGUUUUGAGGCCAAACUUUCUACAUGGGAUUGGGAGAGGAGAGGCAAAAGCUCAAAGUGACGCGCGUGGAAUCCUUUUAUAUUGGCCGAGGAGGGAGAUCGGGCGCGGAUGUCGACGGCCGGCAUUCGGGGCGCCUCUUUUGGAAACUGCGAUUAUGAGAGGAAACUUCAAAUUGAUUGCCUGAAUCGGUUUCCGGGAUGGUGAGGAUUGAUGGGGUGGUUUUCUUUCGAAGAAAGACACGCGGGAAGGAAAGAAAUCGAAGGAAGAAAAUAUGGAAGGAGUGGUUUCCUUACGUGCAGAGGAGUAAGAACAAGCACGAGCUCGUGCUCGGCUGGGCUGGGCUGGGGCGUUCGGUGGAGAUGGGCCGGCCCAGUUGGGUCGGUCCAUUCUUUUUUUUUCUUUUCUUUUUUUCCAUUUCUGUUUUCUAUUAAUAACUUUUGAUUCGUAACUCCAAAUAAGUCCAAAUAAACUCCAGUAAAUUUGUAAAUUCAAAUCCUCCAAAGUGUGAAAUUUUGGGACAUCAAUCCUCUCAAAAUAAAAUAAGUAAAAAUACUUUUGCUUAUGUAAAUGUCAUUAGGCCUUUAUAAGUACUAAAUAAAAUAGACUUUGAAAUCUAUUAUGAAACUUUGUUUCAUAAAUUUGCUUAAACUCCAAUAAACAUAUUGGGUUGGCAUACUUUGCACUAAAGCCCAUCCUUAGCUAAAUACCCCAUUGGGUUGGACUCCAAAUAAAAUCUUAUAAUAUUUAUAUGGUUCAAUAAAUUCCCAAAUAGCUUUAUAACACCAAUUCACAAACCAUGUAAACCAUCGCAGAUGUUUCCAACUAUAUAUAUAUCUGGGAAGUCACGUUAUCCCACUCUCAACGACGGAAUAAAUAUUGGAAUAACAUUUGCACAUGAGGAUGUCACGUUAUCCUCUUCUCGAAUAUUUGAUAGUUCCCUCUUGGAAACGAAAUGAACACGACAAAAUAA
rnacentral:lncRNA from 1 species